UACGUAGGCAGCAAGCGUUGUUCGGAUUCAUUGGGCGUAAAGGGUGCGUAGGCGGCGCGGUAAGUCGGGUGUGAAAUCUUGGAGCUUAACUCCGAAACUGCAUUCGAUACUGCCGUGCUUGAGGACUGGAGAGGAGACUGGAAUUUACGGUGUAGCGGUGAAAUGCGCAGAUAUCAGGAGGAACACCGGUGGCGAAGGCGGGUCUCUGGGCCGAUGACUGACGCUGAGGAGCGAAAGCGUGGGGAGCGAACAGG
rnacentral:rRNA from 1 species